rnacentral:lncRNA from 1 species
ACGACAGCCUGGUCUCCUACCUGGACAAGGUGCGUGCCCUGGAGGAGGCCAACGCUGACCUGGAGGUGAAGAUCCAUGACUGGUACCAGUGGCAGCGGCCUGCUAAGAUCAAAGACUACAGUCCCUACUUCAAGACCAUCGAGGAUCUGAGGAACAAGAUCCUCACGGCCACAGUGGACAAUGCCAAUGUCCUUCUGCAGAUUGACAACGCCCGUCUGGCCGCAGAUGACUUCCGCACCAAGCGAGUUUGCAGUGGUGGGCCAGAACAUCCAGUGUCCCCAAAGUAUGAGACAGAGUUGAACCUGCGCAUGAGUGUGGGGGCCGACAUCAAUGGCAUGCGCCAGGUGCUGGGGUGCUGGACGAACUGACCCUGGCCAGAGCUGACCUGGAGAUGCAGAUUGAGAGCCUGAAGGAGGAGCUGGCCUAACUGAAGAAGAACCAUGAGGAGGAGAUGAAUGCCCUGAGAGGCCAGGUGGGUGGAGAUGUCAAUGUGGAGAUGGACGAUGCACCUGGUGUGGACCUGAGCCACAUUCUGAACGAGAUGCGUGACCAGUACGAGAAGAU